GCCAUUUCCCAAAGGUUUUAUUGGCCAUCCAUGACAAAUGAUAUAACUAAAUGGGUAUCAGAAUGCACAGUUUGCCAACAAUACAGGGCUGAUCUUAAAGUUGGCACAGAUUACAAACCCAUCAAGACCAAACAUCCAUUUGAGCUGGUAGGAAUGGAUUUGAUUGGGAAGCUUGUGGUAACUGACCAGGGCAACCAAUAUAUUUGUGUUAUUAUUGACUAUUGCACAA